CUGGUACUCCCUACGUCCGGAAUUACUUGUCGCCAAAAUGGAAAAAAAAGAUGUAUCUAGAUCUAAAAUGCGUCUAGAUACAUUUAUUUCUAUGACAAGUAAUUCUGGACGGAGGGAGUACUAU
rfam:Hordeum vulgare subsp. vulgare, WGS project CAJW01000000 data, contig: morex_contig_1579449